GCGCCCAUAGCUCAGUGAUAGAGCGCUUGCCUCCGGAGCAAGAAGCCGCAGGUUCGAGUCCUGCCGGGCAUG
rnacentral:tRNA from 1 species